rnacentral:lncRNA from 10 species
AUGAAGGCAGGCAUCCCCAUGGUGAUCAGGCAACAAUGGAGUGUGGGUGAAUAAUCAGGCAGGCGUCCCCACAGUGAUUAAACACCAAGGGAAGGCUGUCUUCCCAAGUCCGUGACCAGCACCAGAGUUUUGGGUCCACGGAUGAAAUGUGUCUCCUUUGUCUCUACUAGAGAGGAAAAAAAACUGGAAUUGGAAGGACAGGGAGAUUGAAGGAUAGCGAGAGAGGGAGAUUGAAGGGUAGCAAGAGAGGCUGGAGAAGAGAGUGAAAAGACCGCUUAACCGAUUUGAAAUUGUUUUGUCAAAGCAACAGGCUUCACAAGUCCUGGUUAGGAAGCGUCGUGCAAAUUCUUUACUUGAAGAAACCAAACAGGGUAAUCUUGAAAGAGAAUGCAUCGAAGAACUGUGCAAUAAAGAAGAAGCCAGGGAGGUCUUUGAAAAUGACCCGGAAACGGAUUAUUUUUAUCCAAAAUACUUAGUUUGUCUUCGCUCUUUUCAAACUGGGUUAUUCACUGCUGCACGUCAGUCAACUAAUGCUUAUCCUGACCUAAGAAGCUGUGUCAAUGCCAUUCCAGACCAGUGUAGUCCUCUGCCAUGCAAUGAAGAUGGAUAUAUGAGCUGCAAAGAUGGAAAAGCUUCUUUUACUUGCACUUGUAAACCAGGUUGGCAA